rnacentral:rRNA from 1 species
CACGUAGGGGGCGAGCGUUUGUCCGGAUUUAUUGGGCGUAAAGAGCUCGUAGGCGGUUCGCUAAGUCGGGUGUGAAACCUCCAGGCUCAACCUGGAGACGCCACCUGAUACUGGUGUGACUAGAGUCCGGUAGGGGAGUGUGGAACUCCUGGUGUAGCGGUGAAAUGCGCAGAUAUCAGGAAGAACACCAGCGGCGAAGGCGGCACUCUGGGCCGGUACUGACGCUGAGGAGCGAAAGCGUGGGUAGCAAACAGG